rnacentral:rRNA from 1 species
GAUGAACGCUGGCGGCGUGCCUAAUACAUGCAAGUCGAGCGAACAGACGAGGAGCUUGCUCCUCUGACGUUAGCGGCGGACGGGUGAGUAACACGUGGAUAACCUACCUAUAAGACUGGGAUAACUUCGGGGAACCGGAGCUAAUACCGGAUAAUAUAUUGAACCGCAUGGUUCAAUAGUGAAAGACGGUUUUGCUGUCACUUAUAGAUGGAUCCGCGCCGCAUUAGCUAGUUGGUAAGGUAACGGCUUACCAAGGCAACGAUGCGUAGCCGACCUGAGAGGGUGAUCGGCCACACUGGAACUGAGACACGGUCCAGACUCCUACGGGAGGCAGCAGUAGGGAAUCUUCCGCAAUGGGCGAAAGCCUGACGGAGCAACGCCGCGUGAGUGAUGAAGGUCUUCGGAUCGUAAAACUCUGUUAUUAGGGAAGAACAAAUGUGUAAGUAACUAUGCACGUCUUGACGGUACCUAAUCAGAAAGCCACGGCUAACUACGU